GAUGAACGCUGGCGGCGUGCUUAACACAUGCAAGUCGAGCGAAGCACUUAAGUUUGAUUCUUCGGAUGAGGACUUUUGUGACUGAGCGGCGGACGGGUGAGUAACGCGUGGGUAACCUGCCUCAUACAGGGGGAUAACAGUUAGAAAUGGCUGCUAAUACCGCAUAAGACCACAGUACUGCAUGGUACAGUGGUAAAAACUCCGGUGGUAUGAGAUGGACCCGCGUCUGAUUAGGUAGUUGGUGAGGUAACGGCCCACCAAGCCGACGAUCAGUAGCCGACCUGAGAGGGUGACCGGCCACAUUGGGACUGAGACACGGCCCAGACUCCUACGGGAGGCAGCAGUGGGGAAUAUUGCACAAUGGGCGAAAGCCUGAUGCAGCGACGCCGCGUGAAGGAUGAAGUAUUUCGGUAUGUAAACUUCUAUCAGCAGGGAAGAAGAAUGACGGUACCUGACUAAGAAGCACCGGCUAAAUACGUGCCAGCCGCCGCUGUAA
rnacentral:rRNA from 1 species